CCUACGGGAGACUGCAGUGGGGAAUAUUGCGCAAUGGGCGAAAGCCUGACGCAGCGACGCCGCGUGAGGGCUGACGUUCUUCGGAUCGUACACCUCUGUCAGCAGGUAAGAACGGUCACUGUGCUAAUCAGCAGUGAAUUGACGGUACCUGCAAAGGAAGCACCGGCUAACUCCGUGCCAGCAGCCGCGGUAAUACGGAGGGUGCGAGCGUUAAUCGGAAUUACUGGGCGUAAAGCGCUCGUAGGCGGUAUGUCAAGUCAAGGGUGAAAUCCCCGGGCUCAACGUGGGAACUGCCUUUGAAACUGGCAAACUGGAGUGUGUGAGAGGAUAGUGGAAUUCCAUGUGUAGGAGUGAAAUCCGUAGAUAUCUGGAGGAACAUCAGUGGCGAAGGCGACUAUCUGGCACAUAACUGACGCUGAGGAGCGAAAGCGUGGGUAGCAAACAGGAUUAGAUACCCGAGUAGUC
rnacentral:rRNA from 1 species